UAAGAACGGCCAUGCACCACCACCCACAUAAUCAAGAAAGAGCUAUCAAUCUGUCAAUCCUUACUAUGUCUGGACCUGGUGAGUUUCCCCGUGUUGAGUCAAAUUAAGCCGCAGGCUCCACUCCUGGUGGUGCCCUUCCGUCAAUUCCUUUAAGUUUCAGUCUUGCGACCAUACUCCCCCUGGAACUCAAAGACUUUGAUUUCUCAAAAAAUGCCGAAGGAAUCAACAGGCAACCGCCUCCAAUUUCUUGGUAGCAUAGUUUAUGGUUAAGACUAGGACGGUAUCUAAUCGUCUUCGAUCCCCUAACUUUCGUUCUUGAUUAAAGAAGACAUCCUUGGCAAAUGCAUUCGCAUUAGUUUGUCUUUAACAAAUCCAAGAAUUUCACCUCUGACAGUUAAAUACAAAUGCCCCCAACCAUCCCCAUCAAUC
rnacentral:rRNA from 1 species